rnacentral:rRNA from 1 species
GAUGAACGCUGGCGGCGUGCUUAACACAUGCAAGUCGGACGAUGAAAGCGGGAGCUUGCUCCUGCUGGAUUAGUGGCGAACGGGUGAGUAACACGUGAGUAACCUGCCCUUGACUCUGGGAUAAGCGUUGGAAACGACGUCUAAUACCGGAUACGACCUUCGGAGGCAUCUCCUGGGGGUGGAAAGAAUUUCGGUCAAGGAUGGACUCGCGGCCUAUCAGCUAGUUGGUGAGGUAAUGGCUCACCAAGGCGACGACGGGUAGCCGGCCUGAGAGGGUGACCGGCCACACUGGGACUGAGACACGGCCCAGACUCCUACGGGAGGCAGCAGUGGGGAAUAUUGCACAAUGGGCGCAAGCCUGAUGCAGCAACGCCGCGUGAGGGACGACGGCCUUCGGGUUGUAAACCUCUUUUAGUAGGGAAGAAGCGAAAGUGACGGUACCUGCAGAAAAAGCACCGGCUAACUACGUGCCAGCAGCCGCGGUAAUACGUAGGGUGCAAGCGUUAUCCGGAAUUAUUGGGCGUAAAGAGCUCGUAGGCGGUUUGUCACGUCUGCUGUGAAAACUGGAGGCUCAACCUCCAGCCUGCAGUGGGUACGGGCAGACUAGAGUGCGGUAGGGGAGAUUGGAAUUCCUGGUGUAGCGGUGGAAUGCGCAGAUAUCAGGAGGAACACCGAUGGCGAAGGCAGAUCUCUGGGCCGUAACUGACGCUGAGGAGCGAAAGCAUGGGGAGCGAACAGGAUUAGAUACCCUGGUAGUCCAUGCCGUAAACGUUGGGAACUAGAUGUAGGGACCAUUCCACGGUUUCUGUGUCGCAGCUAACGCAUUAAGUUCCCCGCCUGGGGAGUACGGCCGCAAGGCUAAAACUCAAAGGAAUUGACGGGGGCCCGCACAAGCGGCGGAGCAUGCGGAUUAAUUCGAUGCAACGCGAAGAACCUUACCAAGGCUUGACAUAUACCGGAAAAGUUCAGAAAUGUUCUCCCCGCAAGGUCGGUAUACAGGUGGUGCAUGGUUGUCGUCAGCUCGUGUCGUGAGAUGUUGGGUUAAGUCCCGCAACGAGCGCAACCCUCGUUCUAUGUUGCCAGCACGUAAUGGUGGGAACUCAUAGGAGACUGCCGGGGUCAACUCGGAGGAAGGUGGGGAUGACGUCAAAUCAUCAUGCCCCUUAUGUCUUGGGCUUCACGCAUGCUACAAUGGCCGAUACAAAGGGCUGCAAUACCGCGAGGUGGAGCGAAUCCCAAAAAGUCGGUCUCAGUUCGGAUUGAGGUCUGCAACUCGACCUCAUGAAGUCGGAGUCGCUAGUAAUCGCAGAUCAGCAACGCUGCGGUGAAUACGUUCCCGGGCCUUGUACACACCGCCCGUCACACCAUGGAAGUUGGUAACACCCGAAGUCCGUGAGGUAACCGUAAGGAGCCAGCGGCCGAAGGUGGGAUUAGUGAUUGGGGUG